rnacentral:tRNA from 1 species
GCCUGGGUGGCUCAGUCAGUUGAGCAUCCGACUUCAGCUCAGGUCAUGAUCUCGUGGUUUGUGAGUUCGAGCCCCACGUCAGGCU